GUGGGGGAGCGGAACAGGAUUAGAUACCCUUGGGUUGUCCACCCCGUAUACGAUGAGUGCUAAGUGUUUAGGGGGGUUUCCCGCCCCUUAGUGCUGCAGCUAACGCAUUAAGCACUCCGCCUGGGGAGUACGGUCGCAAGACUGAAACUCAAAGGAAUUGACGGGGGCCCGCACAAGCGGUGGAGCAUGUGGUUUAAUUUGAAGCAACGCGAAGAACCUUACCAGGUCUUGACAUCCUCUGACAACCCUAGAGAUAGGGCUUUCCCUUCGGGGACAGAGUGACAGGUGGUGCAUGGUUGUCGUCAGCUCGUGUCGUGAGAUGUUGGGUUAAGUCCCGCAACGAGCGCAACCCUUGAUUUUAGUUGCCAGCAUUCAGUUGGGCACUUUAAGGUGACUGCCGGUGACAAACCGGAGGAAGGUGGGGAUGACGUCAAAUCAUCAUGCCCCUUAUGACCUGGGCUACACACGUGCUACAAUGGACAGAACAAAGGGCUGCAAGACCGCAAGGUUUAGCCAAUCCCAUAAAUCUGUUCUCAGUUCGGAUCGCAGUCUGCAACUCGACUGCGUGAAGCUGGAAUCGCUAGUAAUCGCGGAUCAGCAUGCCGCGGUGAAUACGUUCCCGGGCCUUGUACACACCGCCCGUCACACCACGAGAGUUUGCAACACCC
rnacentral:rRNA from 1 species